ensembl:lncRNA
AUUGUAUAAACAAUUUAAAUAAAAUGAUUUACAUAUAUUUUAAGUGAAAUUAGUUGCAUUAAAUUGUUUGUUUUAAAUUUUUUACAUUUUGAUCAGAAUAAAAUGAAGAAAGUUUUAAUAUUAAAUAAAUAAUUGUUAUAAAAGUGAUUUACACAGACGUAAUUACAAUUAUUGACAUGAUUUAAUAUUUUAAAAUCUUUAUGCACAAUAUAGAUUCUUAUUUAUUCCCUUUGUUCUUGGGUUGAAAUAUGAUCUGAAAUUGUGGCAUGAUUUUGUGUGUCAAUGCACUGUGUUUUUAUGAUAAAAAAACCUACUUUAUCUCCUCUGUAGACUGGAAAAGAAGAUCAGCGAUGGAUCUUAAAAAUAAAUGUAGGUGUGACAGAAGAAGAGUUUUCUCUCAUCUCGCGCAUCCAAGCAUGUGCCAAGUGUUGCCACGGUAA